rnacentral:lncRNA from 1 species
GCUAGGCAUUACACAGAGUAAAUACAUACUGUAAAGUAGGGUCAUUGCCAGUUAAUGGGUUAAUAAUAGACAUUGACAAAUAGGUAUUCCGAAACUUUGCCUCCGAAUCUUAGUAACGGAAUUACGGAAUAUUAUCCAAAUAAAUGUAUCGACGUAUAUUUAUUACAUGAAUUUAUAAAAUCUCACAGUUUUCUCACAUCACAAAAAUUCCCAUCUUUGUAAAAAAUCCCCUCCCCAGCAUGUCCUGAGCAUGUCUCACAGUUCCUAUGACAACGGUGUUUCCACUUUUUUAUAUAUAAAUGUCAAUUUCCAACAUCCUCCCCCCAUGCGACUCAUAAGGAGUCACAUGUUAUACUAGAAAAUCCCAAUGUCUCAAUGUUAAUUGUCAUUCGUCCUCCUCAUCCAGUUCAAACAGUUCCUUAUUCUUUGCUUCUGCUACGACUGCUGCUCGCCUCUUUGGUUUGAAUUCUUUCACAUUGGUAUUCAAUUUCGUCUCGCAUUUCCCCACGUCGCAUUCCAGUUCCAAAGGAUAUAUCAGUUGAAUCGGUCUUUCUAUAGUCGAUUUAGCGCAUUGAAGCUUAACUCCUCUGACAACGUUAUCUUUCCCACGAAUUAACUUCGUAACUUUUCCCAUUUUCCACUUGUUUCUGUUCUUCUCGUCGCCUUUAACCAACACAAUAUCUCCUUCCUUGGGACCAACUACAGUUGACUUGAUGAUGGUCUGAUGACGCUGCCGUAAACUCGUCAGGUACUCUCUUUGCCAUCGUCUCCAUAAAUGGUUCUUUAUGCUUUGCAAGUACCUUGCCCUCUUUCGUAGAUCACCGUCCUCAAUAUGAUAACAUUCUAGCUCUGGCACAACAUUCGACUGUUGUAGCACAAAGGAAUUUGGUGUAAGAAUAGGAAAUUCAAUAUCAUCCUCUAAGUAGCUUAGUGGCCGGUUAUUCAUACAGAUUUCUACAUCUAGAACAACUUCCGACAGCUCUUCAAAUGUCAAAAGUCCUUUGCCGAUAACCUUGUAAAAAGCACAUUUGAAAAUUCC